UGGGGAAUUUUGGACAAUGGGCGCAAGCCUGAUCCAGCCAUGCCGCGUGCGGGAAGAAGGCCUUCGGGUUGUAAACCGCUUUUGUCAGGGAAGAAAUCUUCUGAGUUAAUACCUCGGGAGGAUGACGGUACCUGAAGAAUAAGCACCGACUAACUACGUGCCAGCAGCCGCGGUAAUACGUGGGUGCAAGCGUUAAUCGGAAUUACUGGGCGUAAAGCGUGCGCAGGCGGUUUUGUAAGACAGAGGUGAAAUCCCCGGGCUCAACCUGGGAACUGCCUUUGUGACUGCAAGGCUUGAGUGCGGCAGAGGGGGGAUGGAAUUCCGCGUGUAGCAGUGAAAUGCGUAGAUAUGCGGAGGAACACCGAUGGCGAAGGCAAU
rnacentral:rRNA from 1 species